ensembl:snRNA U6 U6 spliceosomal RNA
AUGCUCACUUCGACAGCACAUAUACUAAAAUUGGAACGAUAUAGGGAAGAUUAGCAUGGCCUCAUGCAAGGAUGAUGUGCAAAUUCGUAAAGUGUUCCAUAUUUUU